CUGCUCUCCGUAAAUCUCUGGGUAAAUCCCUUCAGCUCCGGUGGACAUGUCGGGCUGAUCUCUGAGGGAACUUUCAGGAAAUGCAACAGGUGGAGGAGCCGGAGGGACGAAGCGUUACACCGGGAGGCUUUCUGCUCCUCCAGACGGACACCAGGCUCUCCGCCGGGGCUCCUCACCCAGCCUUCACCGGGGCAGAAACGUCUCUGAGCGGUCACCGUCAACACAUUUGACCCCCACGGUUCUCUGUCUGUUUGUGAUCGGCAUCCGUUAGCGUCCCGGCUAGCCGCAGAGAGCCUCCAGGAGCCGGACACGCACUCAGCCGUUCACACGCUCAGGAGGCAUCAUGGAUGAAAACAGCCUCACCGGCUCCAACGUGAAGGUCGCUGUUCGUGUCCGACCCAUGAACAGGAGAGAAAAAGACCUGAAGACUAAGUGCGUGGUGGAGAUGGAAGGAAACCAGACGGUUCUGUAUUCAGCUGUAACCAGCGCCAACAAAGGAGACCCCCGGACCCAGCCGAAGGUCUUUGCCUAUGACUACUGUUUCUGGUCUAUGGAUGAAUCCCAGAAAGAUAAGUUUGCAGGUCAGGAUGUGGUGUUCCAGUGCCUCGGAGAGAAUCUGCUGGACAACGCCUUCAUGGGAUACAACGCCUGCAUCUUCGCUUAUGGACAGACAGGUUCAGGGAAGUCGUACACCAUGAUGGGCUCAGCAGAGCAGCCCGGUCUGAUCCCUCGACUCAGCAGCUCCCUGUUCAGCCGGACGGUCCAGGAGGCCAGAGAAGGAGAGAGCUUCACCGUGGAGGUCUCCUACAUGGAGAUCUACAACGAGAAGGUUCGAGACCUGCUGGAUCCCAAAGGAAGUCGACAGGCUCUGAGAGUCAGAGAACAUAAAGUUCUGGGGCCGUAUGUUGACGGUUUGUCCCACCUGGCCGUGGCCAGCUACAAGGACAUAGAGUCUCUGAUGUCAGAGGGAAAUAAAUCUCGCACUGUGGCAGCGACCAACAUGAAUGAAGAGAGCAGCAGAUCCCACGCUGUGUUCAACAUCAUCCUCACUCACACCCUCAUGGACCUGCAGUCUGGAACGAGUGGAGAGAAGGUGAGCAAACUGAGUCUGGUGGAUCUUGCCGGAAGUGAACGAGCAGCAAAGACCGGAGCAGCAGGAGAACGACUGAAAGAAGGAAGCAACAUCAACAAGUCUCUCAGCACUCUGGGUUUGGUUAUCUCAGCGUUGGCCGAGCAGGGAGCUGGAAAGAACAAGAGCAAGUUUGUUCCCUACAGGGAUUCUGUUCUCACCUGGCUGCUCAAGGACAGCCUGGGAGGAAACAGCCGCACCGCCAUGGUCGCCACCAUCAGCCCCGCCGCCGACAACUACGACGAGACUCUCUCCACGCUGCGCUACGCCGACAGAGCCAAGAGCAUCGUGAACCACGCUGUCGUGAACGAAGACCCCAACGCCAGGAUCAUCCGAGAGCUCCGAGAGGAAGUGGAGAAGCUGAGGGAGCAGCUGACUGAGGCCGAGUCCAUGAAGGCGCCGGAGCUGAAGGAGCGGCUAGAAGAGUCUGAAAAACUGAUCCAGGAAAUGAUGGUGACCUGGGAGGACAAACUCAGGAAGACUGAGGCCAUCGCACAGGAGCGUCAGAAGCAGCUGGAGAGUCUGGGCAUCUCCCUGCAGUCGUCUGGCAUCAGGGUGGUGGACGAUAAGUGUUUCCUGGUCAAUCUGAACGCUGAUCCGGCCCUCAACGAGCUGCUGGUCUACUACCUGAAGGAUCACACCCGUGUGGGCUCGGCCGACUCUCAGGACAUCCAGCUGUGUGGGAUGGCCAUCCAGCCGGAGCACUGCAUCAUCGACGUCCUGGAGAACAACGGCGUGAUGCUCAGUCCUCACCGCAACGCUCGAACUUGUGUGAACGGUUCUGCAGUGUCCUGUCCUGUGCAGCUUCAUCACGGAGACAGAAUCCUGUGGGGAAACAACCACUUCUUCAGGAUCAGCCUACCCAGACAUAUGGUCCACCCCGGGGCCGACGAGGAGGACGGUGGAGCUGCCGUGAAGACGUGUCUGAGCUCCGACCGGCUGGAGGUGGAUCCGGAUGCAGCCAGCGACGUCUCCAGCGAGCUGAGCUUUGGCUACGAGUUCGCUCAGGCCGAGGUCAUGAUGAAAGGAAUGGGUAACAACGACCCUCUACAGUCAGUGUUGCAGACCCUGGAGCGGCAGCAUGAGGAGGAGAAGCGCUGUGCUCUGGAGCGUCAGAGGCUGAUGUAUGAACAGGAGCUGCAGCAGCUCCGUCAGAGACUCAGUCCUGAGAAACCGUCCCACCUCCUGGAGGCUUCGGGCCUCCCGGUCGGAGCUGCUGCUGCUGCCGUAACAUCUCCCACCUCCCAGAAACGUCUGCGGCGCUGGAGCGAGGACAGAGAAGCGAUGAUGACUCGUAGCCUUCGGCGACUUCGGGAGCAGAUACUUCGAGCCAGACUGUUGGCUCAGGAGGCCGGCUUCAUCGCUGAGGAGCUCAACAAAAGGACGGAGUACCUGGUGACGCUGCAGAUACCUGCUGCCAACCUGGACGCCAACAGGAAGCGGGACGUGGUGCUGAGCGAACCGGCCAUCCAGGUGCGCCGUAAAGGUAAAGGGAAGCAGAUCUGGGCUCUGGAGAAGAUGGAGAACCGGCUGGUGGACAUGAGGGAGCUCUACCAGGAGUGGAAGGACUUCGACGAAGACAACCCUGUGAUGAGGUCCUACUUCAAGCGUGCCGACCCGUUCUUUGAUGAGCAGGAGAACCACAGUCUGAUCGGCGUGGCCAAUGUUUUCCUGGCCUGUUUGUUUUACGAUGUCAAACUGCAGUACGCCGUGCCCAUCAUCAACCAGAAGGGAGAGGUUGCGGGUCGGCUGCAUGUGGAGGUGUUUCGAGGCACUGAGAGCUCUGAGGAGGAAUCUGCAGCUCAAACCGACUCUCAGCUGACAGACAGAGAUCCACAGGAGAGGAAGCUGGACUGUGUGGUGAAAGUCCUCCAGGCCACCGGUCUUCCUCGCCACCUGUCCAACUUCGUCUUCUGUCAGUAUCACUUCUGGGGGCAGGAGGAGCCGGUGUUCACGGCUCCAGAGGUGGCACCGUCGAGCUCGUCGUCUGCCUCCAGAGACCCUCAGUGCACGGUGGUGUUCGACAGCGCCAAGGAGCUGUCGGUGCCGGUAUCAGAGGACUUUGUGGAGUUCCUGGCGGAGGGGGCGGUGGCCAUUGAAGUGUACGGACACAAACAGGCCAACCAUCGCAGGAACCUGGCUCUGUGGGACCUGGGAGUGAUCCAAGCCAAGACCAGAUCCCUCAGAGAGAGGUGGAGUGAGGUGACCCGACGGCUGGAGCUGUGGGUUCAGGUGAUGGAGCUGAACGAGGCGGGAGAGUUCACACCUGUAGAAGUUCAGCCUGCUAAAGACGUCCGCACAGGAGGAACCUUCCAGCUCAGACAGGGUCAGUCCCGGCGGGUCCAGGUGGAGGUCCGCUCGGUGUCGGAUUCCGGUACGAUGCCUCUCAUCGCUGCCUCCAUCCUCUCGGUUUCUAUCGGAGACGUGAAAGUCCAGCAGAUACGUCACUCCAGAAAUGAUUCCCAAUGGGGUGGAGAUGAAGAAAUGGACAGCUACCAGGAGGUGGACCUGGAGAGGAUGAGGGAGCAGUGGUUGCUCACACUCACCCAGAGACAGGAGUAUUUGGAUCAGCAGCUGCAGAAGAUCGUUUCCAAACCAGAUAAGUCAGAGGAUGACGUGGAGAGAGAAUCCCAGCUGCUGGAGUGUCGUCUGACCCUCACAGAGGAACGAAACGCUGUUCUGGUGCCGUCGGCCGGCAGCGGCAUCCCUGGAGCUCCGGUAGAGAGGGUUCCUGUACCUGGAAUGGAAACACACAUUCCUGUCCUGUUCCUGGAUCUCAGUGCUGAUGAUUUCCAGUCCAGUCUUUCUGCCCCGCUGGCCGGAGGCCUCGAUGCUCUGCUCAGCAGAGAGGAUGACGACGACUUCUUUGACCUUCAUAUCGUUAAACACUGCGAUCCAGAGGUGAAGGUGGAGGCGUCCUGGGACUCCACGGUCCACGAGUGUCCCCAGCUGAGUCGGGUGACGUCGGCCGACCAGAGGGUUUACCUGACGGUCCGUUCUGUGGUCCAGCUGAGCCACCCGGCCCACAUGCAGCUGGUCCUCAGGAAACGCAUCUGUGUGAACGUCACCGGGAGACAGGGUUUCGCCCAGAGCCUGCUGAGGAGGAUGUCUCAGCGUAGCACCAUCCCCAGCUGUGGAGUCACCUUUGAAAUCGUUUCCAACAUCCCAGGGGACAUCCAUGGUCCAGAGGACAGGGAGAUGUUGGCCCGGCUGGCUGCCAGCGCCGAGGACGACCAAUCAGCCGACAGCGAGGCGGCCAUAGAAAAAUACCUGCGCAGCGUCCUGGCGGUGGAGAACGUCCUGACUCUGGACAGACUCAGACAGGAGGUGGCUGUGAGAGAACAGCUGGCGGUCAGAGGGAAAGCUGCCAGACGCUGCCUGAGCUCUCCAGACAUCCAGCGGCUGUCAGCCAGCUGUCUGGACCUCUACUCCUCCACUCACAGGCUCAGUGACUUUAAGGGCUGGGAGAGCCAUCAAGACCUCUCUGUGGUUCCUCCUCCGUCCAGACGAACGCUGCCCACCUCCUUAUCCCAGAACCUGAACCCAGAGACCGAUGUCUUCUUCUUCAUUCCUCCAUCAGUGCAUUCAGGCUUUGCUGCAUCUUAUCUCCCUCCAGUGAAGGCCGUCCCCAGGCUGCUGAAGUCGCUGCUUCCUGGUGGGAGGGAGGAUGGUGGUGAUCAGACGUCUGUCCGUCAGCAGGUCUACUGUCCAGAGCCGGAGGGCAGCAGGAUUCAUGUGUUUGACCUGUUCUCUGACGUUAGACCAGUUCCUCAUAGUUUGCCUCGCAUCGUGGUGCAGUCGGCCAGCGUUGAAGAGGGCAUGAGCAAACAUCAGCAGCCAAUUCCUACUGAGGAAGUCCUUCCUUCUACAAUGGAACCCAACAUCCCAAAGUCUGUGCCCCUUCCACCUCCCAUCAUCCCAGAAACAGAAGACUCGACGCCCAGCCCGGUGAGCGAAGCUUCCAGUGGAUACAUGUCCACCAGCAUCUCCACUGCCACGCUGUCAGAGGUCUACACCCUGAGCUGGGACCUUCCUCCAUCAUUGAGCAGCAGAGCAGAUGGAUUUGAGGCAGUGCCAGAUGAGGAGGAGGAGGACAGUAAAGAGACACAGAGGUCCUCACCUCUCUAUAUCGCCUCACAGUCCAACACUGGUCCUGAACCUCUUCAUGUUGACCAAUCAGAGCCUCAGGAGUCACUGCUGGGCUUGGAUGAGCAGAUGGCUGCAGAGACCACCGACCAGCCUCCAUCCAACCAGAACAAGAAGAACCAACAAGAACCAGAUCUGUCUCCAUCAGUCCAGCUGAAGGAGGUAGAAGAACCUGAUCCACUUCCAGAAAUAGAAUCUCCAGACCAGACGCAACAACAACAACACAACGCUGCAACUGAGCAAUCAGAACAAAUAGACAACUCUGAGGAGCUUCCAGGUUCAGUGGAGGUAGAAGAAAAUGAAACUAAACUGCUGCAAAUACACCCCUCUAAACCAGAGACUCUGUCUGAAGAUCUUGAGGUGGCUUCUACCAAUGAGACAGAAUGUCGUCUGUUACCUCACAAUGAAACUCAACCGUCUGCAGAUGGAGAAAGUCAGAUGGAACCAAAUGUCCCACUGCAGCCAAGACAAGACCAGACAGCUUCUGACUCUGCUCAAGAUCCACCUUCAGACCUGUUGGAACCUUUACCUGCUGCUCCAGAACCAUCUGAAAAUGCUGCUCUUCAAGGUUCAUCUGAGGAACAAUCAGCUUCUGAAGCUUCUGACCCAAACGUUGCCUCCAUCCAGCCCUCAUCUUCAGCCACAGAUGACGUCCAGCAGGUGGCACUUUCUGAAGCUCCUGCCAAAGCUGUUGCAGGUCCUCCAGUUGACGCUCAGGAUUCCAAAUCCGUCUCUUCAGUGGCAAACCCCUUCAAGAUCCAGAAGGUGAUGUCUUCAGACCUGAAGUCCUUCCAGCAGAUCCUGGGUGAGGAGGAGGGUAGUCUGGGUCGGGCCAGCAGCCUCGGGACAGGACUCAACCUCUCAGUGCCCAUGGAAAGUCUGGAGAUCAUCUCCGACACAGAAGAAGGAGAUGCUGCAGUCUCGGCUGUGCUUCCUGAUUGGUUGAAAGAAGGGGAGUUUGUGACGGUCGGGGCCAAUAAGAGCGGCACAGUGAGAUACUUGGGACCCACUGAUUUUGCAGAAGGUACCUGGGUGGGAGUGGAGCUGGAGGUCCCAGCAGGAAAGAACGACGGUUCGGUGGGUGGGAAGCACUACUUCUACUGUAACCCCGGCUACGGGGUUCUGGUGAGGCCCGACAGAGUGACCCGAGGCGGAGCCAAACGGCGCCGCCAGCAGCAGCAGAAGCAUCGCAGCGCUAACCUGUCUGGAUCCAGCCCAAACCUGGCAGCUCUCACAGCUCUGGCCAAAGGACAUGCUGGUGGAGCUUCCAGCGGCCGAAGCCGAGGAGAGAACCGGAAAUCAUGGAACAACUAGAGGAAACGGCUGGACACCAACUCAACUAUCAUCCUACCCAGCAGCUGCUUGAUGGGAUCACUGGGUAAAUCGACCAAAGAACUACAGACUCUUCACAACCUGCUCAAACUCUUGGUACAGGACCUCACCACAGGGGUCAAGAAGGUUUCUGUCUCAUUUCUACUCUGAAGCUCACCUUCUCCUGCUCAAACUGCUGACAAAUGUUUCUGCUGCUCUAAAGUCUGCUCUCCAGAACUUCCUAAAAACUCUCAAAGUCUCUUCUGCUGCAGGUUGCUUUGUAGAACUGUUCCAGAAAACCUCACUAAACCACAUGGAGGAGCCUCAAGAUAGUCGUCCAAAUGAAACCAUACAAAAACCAAACUAGCACAACCCAAACGCUAAAGUCUCCUGCAGCCUACCAGAGAACCUCUGAGAACAGAGAAUCAGGACAGGAACUCUUACCUUCUGGACAACCAACGCUGGUUCUCAAACAAGAAUACAGAAUGUGUCUGACCAAAAACCUCUAAAGACACUACAGCCAAGAUAAAGACACAACUCAGCUGCACCAAAUCCACUAAUCACAGCACACAUUAACACCAUGUGCUAACUGUGGCUAAAGAACCACAUUUACCAAGACAACUAUUCAGUACAAAGCCCUAAAACACACCAAGAAACACAUUAAAGACGAUUUUACUGCUGGAAGCUGCAAGCCAACGCCUAAAAAACAAACUAAAGCAACAGAACCGAACCCGGUUCACUGGUGAAGAGAAACAGAGGAAAUGUUUGUCUGCAGCUAAACAAAGCAGGAAGACACUGAGCUGCUCAGGUGUUCCUGAUAACACCAAGCAGCCACCUGGACAGCCAAUAGGAACACAGCCACCUGGACAGCCAAUAGGAACACAGCUUACUGGAAGUCCAGAGGGCUGGCUUAGUCAAGGAAAUUUAGUUUAAAGUUGAAGCAGAAAGUUAAUAAAGAAAGUUGAAAACCA